GUAAGACAAGCGGCCGCCCCGUGCAAGCGGGGAGGAAAGUCCGGGCUCCACAGGGCAGGGUGCCGGAUAACGUCCGGCGAAGGCGACUUCAGGGAAAGUGCAACAGAGAGAUACCGCCCCGCGUCAAGCGGGGUAAGGCUGGAAAGGCGAGGUAAGAGCUCACCGACGGCUUGGCGACUUGUCCGUCAUGUAAACCCCACCCGGUGCAAGAUUGGAAUGAGAGCAUACAAUGGCUGCCCGUCACGCUCUCGAUAAUCGCUUGAGCCUGCCGGCAACGGCAGGCCUAGAUAGAUGGUCGCUCACGAUCCGCAAGGAUCUGGACAGAACCCGGCUUACGGCUUG
rnacentral:RNase_P_RNA from 1 species